CCUACGGGUGGCAGCAGUGAGGAAUAUUGGUCAAUGGACGAAAGUCUGAACCAGCCAAGUAGCGUGAAGGAUGACUGCCCUAUGGGUUGUAAACUUCUUUUAUAUGGGAAUAAAAUGUUCCACGUGUGGUCUUUUGUAUGUACCAUAUGAAUAAGGAUCGGCUAACUCCGUGCCAGCAGCCGCGGUAAUACGGAGGAUCCGAGCGUUAUCCGGAUUUAUUGGGUUUAAAGGGUGCGUAGGUGGAUUGUUAAGUCAGUUGUGAAAGUUUGCUGCUCAACCGUAAAAUUGCAGUUGAAACUGGUAGUCUUGAGUACAGUAGAGGUGGGCGGAAUGCGUGGUGUAGCGGUGAAAUGCUUAGAUAUCACGAAGAACUCCGAUUGCGAAGGCAGCUCACUGGACUGCAACUGACACUGAGGCGCGAAAGUGUGGGUAUCAAACAGGAUUAGAUACCCGAGUAGUC
rnacentral:rRNA from 1 species